AAUACCUUACUACUUGGAUAACCGUGGUAAUUCUAGAGCUAAUACAUGCUAAAAACUCCAACUUCGGAAGGGGUGUAUUUAUUAGAUAAAAAACCAACGCCCUUUGGGGCUCCUUGGUGAAUCAUGAUAACUUAACGGAUCGCAUGGCCUUGCGCCGGCGACGGUUCAUUCAAAUUUCUGCCCUAUCAACUUUCGAUUGUAGGGUAUUGGCCUACAAUGGUAUCAACGGGUAACGGGGAGUUAGGGCUCGACUCCGGAGAGGGAGCCUGAGAAACGGCUACCACAUCCAAGGAAGGCAGCAGGCGCGCAAAUUACCCAAUCCCGACACGGGGAGGUAGUGACAAUAAAUACUGAUCCGGGGCUCUUUUGGGUCUCGGAAUUGGAAUGAGUACAAUUUAAAUCCCUUAACGAGGAACAAUUGGAGGGCAAGUCUGGUGCCAGCAGCCGCGGUAAUUCCAGCUCCAAUAGCGUAUAUUAAAGUUGUUGCAGUUAAAAAGCUCGUAGUUGAACCUUGGGCCUGGCUGGCCGGUCCGCCUCACCGCGUGCACUGGUCCGGCCGGGCCUUUCCUCUUGGGGAGCCGCAUGCCCUUCGCUGGGCGUGUUGGGGAACCAGGACUUUUACUGUGAAAAAAUUAGAGUGUUCAAAGCAGGCCUUUGCUCGGAUACAUUAGCAUGGAAUAAUGGAAUAGGACGUGCGGUUCUAUUUUGUUGGUUUCUAGGACCGCCGUAAUGAUUAAUAGGGAUAGUCGGGGGCGUCCGUAUUCAAUUGUCAGAGGUGAAAUUCUUGGAUUUAUUGAAGACGAACUACUGCGAAAGCAUUCGCCAAGGAUGUUUUCAUUAAUCAGUGAACGAAAGUUAGGGGAUCGAAGACGAUCAGAUACCGUCGUAGUCUUAACCGUAAACUAUGCCGACUAGGGAUCGG
rnacentral:rRNA from 1 species